rnacentral:rRNA from 1 species
AGGGGUUACCUAGUACGGCGAGUGGCGGUAAAGCUCAAAUUUGAAAUCUGGUACUUUCAGUGCCCGAGUUGUAAUUUGUAGAAUUUGUCUUUGAUUAGGUCCUUGUCUAUGUUCCUUGGAACAGGACGUCAUAGAGGGUGAGAAUCCCGUUUGGCGAGGAUACCUUUUCUCUGUAAGACUUUUUCGAAGAGUCGAGUUGUUUGGGAAUGCAGCUCAAAGUGGGUGGUAAAUUCCAUCUAAAGCUAAAUAUUGGCGAGAGACCGAUAGCGAACAAGUACAGUGAUGGAAAGAUGAAAAGAACUUUGAAAAGAGAGUGAAAAAGUACGUGAAAUUGUUGAAAGGGAAGGGCAUUUGAUCAGACAUGGUGUUUUUUGCAUGCACUCGCCUCUCGUGGGCUUGGGCCUCUCAAAAAUUUCACUGGGCCAACAUCAAUUCUGGCAGCAGGAUAAAUCAUUAAGAAUGUAGCUACUUCGGUAGUGUUAUAGCUUUUUGGAAUACUGUUAGCCGGGAUUGAGGACUGCGCUUCGGCAAGGAUGUUGGCAUAAUGGUUAAAUGCCGCCCGUCUUGAACCACGGACCAAA